AGAGUUUGAUCCUGGCUCAGAUUGAACGCUGGCGGCAUGCCUUACACAUGCAAGUCGAACGGCAGCACAGCAGUAGCAAUACUGUGGGUGGCGAGUGGCGGACGGGUGAGUAAUGCAUCGGGACCUACCUGAACGUGGGGGAUAACGUAGGGAAACUUACGCUAAUACCGCAUACGUCCUACGGGAGAAAGCGGGGGACCUUCGGGCCUCGCGCGGUCAGACGGACCGAUGUUCGAUUAGCUAGUUGGUAAGGUAACGGCUUACCAAGGCGACGAUCGAUAGCUGGUCUGAGAGGACGACCAGCCACACUGGGACUGAGACACGGCCCAGACUCCUACGGGAGGCAGCAGUGGGGAAUUUUGGACAAUGGGCGAAAGCCUGAUCCAGCAAUGCCGCGUGUGUGAAGAACGCCUUCGGGUUGUAAAGCACUUUUGUCCGG
rnacentral:rRNA from 1 species